UACAGAGGUCUCAAGCGUUGUUCGGAUUCAUUGGGCGUAAAGGGUGCGUAGGUGGCAUGGUAAGUCGGAUGUGAAAUCCCGGGGCUCAACCCCGGAACUGCAUUCGAUACUGCUAGGCUAGAGUACUGGAGAGGAGAUUGGAAUUUACGGUGUAGCAGUGAAAUGCGUAGAUAUCGUAAGGAAGACCAGUGGCGAAGGCGGAUCUCUGGACAGUUACUGACACUGAGGCACGAAGGCCAGGGGAGCAAACGGG
rnacentral:rRNA from 1 species